CGUGGCGCUCAGCAGUCGUGCCCUGCGCUUGGGAUGCGCCUAACCUGCACUGAGGAGGAGAGGUGCAGACUGCAGAGUAGCAGCAGAGGAGAACACAGGGGCACAUCUGAUACUGCGGAUGAAGGAGAAGGAAUGAUGUACAUGGCUUUUGCACAGAUGCACAGGUAGAGGUUGUGCCUCUGUGGAGAGCAGCUCCUGGUCCUAGUGCAUGCAACUAAGCUUUGAGCAAUCCUCUAUCAAUUUUCAAGUUGCACAAUGAAUAAAGAAGGCAUUACCAAAAUGCCUACAACCAGCACAGGAUGAUGGGGAAGUAGCUGUGUUGUUUUGUUGCCAUGGCGAUCGUAAGCACUCCGUCACUCGCUCAGCGACCAUGACUGCUCUGAGUGAUGUCAUUGGCCUCCGACACCGGCCAGGUGCGUAAUCCCAGUUCCGGUCCAGCUGUUACACGUGGUGAUUGAAAGUAUUUAAGAUUCAAAACCAAAACCCGAAAGGGUGAUUUUGGCAAAACCAAUCCAGAUCUAAGAUACAAGCGGGGAUCCAGAUCCAAAACCAAAGCACAAAACCCGAAAAGUGUCCGCCGCACAUGUCUAGAUAAUACAGGGCUGCCACUGCUCGUGCUGCCUGAUCCAAGGAGAAGAAGGAGGAGAGGAUAUAGCCCCAUCUGCUGGCCAUGUCCUGGAAGCUGCUCAAUGGAUCUGACAGGUGGCAGGACCGCGCAUGCACACAAACACAAAAAACAACUUUUGUAUGGACUGCAGCCCAUAGAAGCUGGGCAGGGCUGACAAAAAGCAUACGUCUUCCUGUUGCACUGCAAGAAAAUGAAGCAGCUGCCCUGUUCUACUUUAUGAUUGAAACGAAAUACCUAAAGUCAUGACCUGGCUGGAAAAAAAAGAAAAUGGGAUAUUCAGUGGUAUAUAUGUUAUAUAACUGGAAUUUUAAAUGUAUUCCAUAAAGAAAGUAGUUUAUUUAGAUCUCUCCGUAUAAGCAGUUUAAGCAUAAAUCUAUCUAGUGUGCCUGAAUAAUCCCCUAAAGAGAACCAUCAGAAAUGUAUAAAUAUAUUGUGUAAAAGUCAAUGUAUGUGAAUGUACAAUUUAUAAUUCCGUACACAGGCACAGCCAGGCAGUGACAUUAUCGGGGUCAUUCCGACCCGAUCGAAUGCUGCCUUUUUUCGCAGCCGUGCAAUCGGGUCAGAACUGCGCAUGUACUCAGCACAAAAAAUUGACCCCAGGUGUAUAAAGAUGGAAAAAUAAGGGUGUCAUGCAUUCCGGACUGCCCACUCACCAAACACCUAGAUCAGGCAUGUCAAACU